UACAGAGGUCUCAAGCGUUGUUCGGAUUCAUUGGGCGUAAAGGGUGCGUAGGUGGCGCCGUAAGUCGGGUGUGAAAUUUCGGAGCUUAACUCCGAAACUGCAUUCGAUACUGCGGUGCUUGAGGACUGGAGAGGAGACUGGAAUUCAUGGUGUAGCAGUGAAAUGCGUAGAGAUCAUGAGGAAGACCAGUGGCGAAGGCGGGUCUCUGGUCAGUUCCUGACACUGAGACACGAAGGCCAGGGAGCAAACGGG
rnacentral:rRNA from 1 species